rnacentral:rRNA from 1 species
AACGCGAAGAACCUUACCAGGGCUUGACAUAUGCAGGAAUAUGUUAGAGAUAACAUAGCUCUUCGGAGUCUGCAUACAGGUGGUGCAUGGUUGUCGUCAGCUCGUGUCGUGAGAUGUUGGGUUAAGUCCCGCAACGAGCGCAACCCCUGUGAUUAGUUGCCAGCACGUAAUGGUGGGAACUCUAAUCAGACUGCCGGUGAUAAAUCGGAGGAAGGUGGGGACGACGUCAAAUCAUCAUGCCCUUUAUGUCCUGGGCUACACACGUACUACAAUGGCCGCUACAGAGGGAAGCGAAGUAGUGAUAUGGAGCAAAACCCUAAAAACGGUCUCAGUUCGGAUUGAAGGCUGAAAUUCGCCUUCAUGAAGCUGGAAUUGCUAGUAAUGGCAGGUCAGCAUACUGCCGUGAAUACGUUCCCGGGGUCUUGUACACACCG